GCCUGGGUGGUUCAGUCGGUUGAGCAUCCGACUUCGGCUCAGGUCAUGAUCUUGGGGUUCGUGGGUUCGAGCCCCGCGUCGGGCU
rnacentral:tRNA from 1 species